CUUAGGAAAAACUAUAACUGCUUUUAUCGCAAGCUUGGAUUUAAGAAUUUUCGGUUCUAUUAACUCACUUCCUGCAUUAAUUCCUCUGCUUCGCUUUAGUUUGGAGCAUUUUCGUUCGUCAAUUCCAUGCCACUGUUGAUACCGAUAGUGCGCAAAAUCUGGAAUUCUUGACGGAAAGUAAGCAUGCUUGAUUAGUUAGAUGAUGUUUGGGCUGCUGUUGUAAAAUGUUUCUAGGUUGAAUGAAUGGAUCAUCGAGGAACUUCAACUCCAUGUAUAAUCGAGUUUCACAGUUGAAUAUGUUACAUGUGCACAUUGCGCUAGAUAUUGGUUGUCAAUAUACUAGUCAUGGAGCUCAUUUGACAUCUUUGAAAGUUUGCAUUGGGGAAUAUGAGGAAUCAAAUAGUCAAGUUCAGCUGGCUCUUGAGAGAGGUCUUCCAGCAAUGAUUGGCAACUUCGGUACAAGACAGCCUCCAUAUCCAUCACUAUCAUUUGACAUGAUUCAUUGUAGUCAGUGUGCUUCCAGUAAGAACAUGAUAGGUACUUGAAGACACUGAAACCAACCCCCUCCUAUAACAAAUAAAAUAAAAAAGAGAGGAAAAAAAUGGAUAUUUUAGUUUCCCUUGUAUGUGUAUUGUAAAACGUAUAAUUGUGCAAUAACUUUUGAAAUUCCUGAUUGAAGUAAACCGUCUACUCAAGCCUGGCGGAUAUUUUGUCAUGCCUUCACCCAGCAGCCGAGCAGCAACUAGGUGGAAAGGAAGAUACACCUCAAAAAUGAUUGAAAUGCUAGAAUAUUGUUGGAAACUUCAAGGUUGGUUGUGUGGCAGAAAUCAACCGAUGCUAACUGCUAUCUGUCACGUUAAGGAUCCUCCUCAGAACUAACUACUUAUUUCAGGCUAACUAUUUACGUUUUUAAGCUUUUUUUUGUUCCGUCUCUGUUGUUCGAUAUGAACACUGUAGUUAGAAGUCUAAACAAAAUUGUUGAACCGAUUUGCUGAUUCUCCUUUUGCAGGAAGAGAGAGUCCAUACCUCUGUGUCGAAUGGAAGAUGACAAUCAAACGUAUUAUAAGCCCCUCACAUCAUGUUUGGUUGGACCAACCAACAAACAGGCCUGAGCCUUUUCCCACUUACCCAAGAACAUACGAUAUGCUGCACGCAAACGGGCUCCUUUCACUAAGCAAAUCAAAGAGGCGCAGUUUGACAGACUUAUUAUUGGAGAUGGAUAGAAUACUACGUCCUGAGGUAAUUCAAUUGAAUCUCUCUGUAAUUAUAAUUGCAAUGUAUAAAGUAUAUUGUUCUUCUCUGCCUUGGAAGCUACAAAUGAUAUAUUUUCUUUUCUAAUAAUCUUAAUUUACCUUUCAGGUUGGGUAAUUUUCAAUGAUACGGCAGAAGUUAUCGAGAUGGCUCGCACGAUUGCAAUUCAAAUGCGAGGGUGAUUGACCUUCAAAAUGGCAGCGAGGAGAAGCUACUCAUCUGCGAAAAACCAUUUCUGAAAAGAUGAUUUUGUUUCACAUGGUUGAAUCAGUCCCGGUAAGCAUAUGAAGCUCUGCAUAUAGCUUCUAUUGGCUGGCAGUUCCAUCUGGUACAGUCAAAAGUAUGAAAGCAUCUCUAAAGAUAAUUUAUCAUCACAUCACAACAAAAAAGAAAAACAAAUUGGAUCUAUCACAAUGAUUGCCUUCAUACAAAAACAAUUACUUGAAAAUACGUCAAAAAGAUACAAAUGCCUAAAAUUUAUUUAUUACUGAAAGAUAAGAGUUGAUCCUAAGUAUUAUUUGUAAGCUAAGGCACGUUGUAUUAUUAAAAAAACUGUCGAACUUUUCAUUGUUUUUAAUUCUUCGAAGACAUUUGUAAUAUUGUGCUAAUCAUCUCAACAUCCUGUAGGAGGUAAAAUCUGAUUAGCCUAAUUGGUUCUGGUAUAUUUACUGCUUCUUACUAUUCACAGGGGCAGGAAUCAAUUUGACUUCAGGUUCAAGGUGAUGUAGUUCUGAAGAAUAGUAGAGGCAAAUUUGUUGUGUAGGGUUAGAGUUUCUUCCAUGGCAGCAAAGCCAAAAUUUUUGUCCAAUUUUGUCCAGGCAUUUCUUGAGAUUCAUUGAUUCUCCCCUCAAAAGGGGAAAUCGUUUUUUAUGAAUUUUUUCCCCUCUGUACAGAGUUAUUAAUGUGAAAAUAUAGAAUAGGAAAAACAGGCACCAAAGCCAUAGUGGAUUUUUUAUCCUUCUUCUCUGUGAGAGUGUUGUACAGAUAAAAUGUAAAACUCAAACUAACAUCAUUCAAAGACCUUUUAGGCAUUGGCAGUGCCUCUACCUCUAUUUGAACGUGAGAAUUUCAACAUAAAUUGUGCAGAAUGGAACUGAAUAUCCUCAACAGGUCUAGGGCGUGUUAGGAGUGAUUUUGACAUGGUUGAUGUCACUUUCUGCCAUGUUUAAAGGAUACUUUUGUCAUAUUUAAAAUCGCUAUGAAACAUGUUCUUUAAUCAUUCAAAAUCAAUUUAAUUUAUGAUUUACAUGUUCAAACAUGUUUCAUACCAUCAAAGUUGAUUUAGAAUCAUCAAAAGCAGUUCCAGAGUGAUUUUAAAAAUGACAAAAAUGUCUAACUAUUUGGAAACCACUCUCGAACAUGAAAAAAAAAAAAAAAAAA